UGAGUAGGGAGCAAAGAACAGUAUUUUGAAAGGUCCGCAGGUGCUUUCACUGUCCGGCCAAGUUUGAGAAACCUGGUCUAAGGAAGCCUGACUUGUCCUUACACUACUGGGUAUUGCUUGUUUGUUUGUUUGUUUGUUUGUUUGUUUUGAGAUAGAGGCUCGCCCUGUCACCCAGGCUGGAGUACAACAGUGUGAUCUCAGCUCACUGCAGCCUCCCAGAUUCAGGUAAUUCUCCUGCCUCAGCCUCCUGAGUAGCUGGGAUUACGGGCAUGUGCCACUACACAGGGCUAAUUUUUGUAUUUAUAGUAGAGAGCGGGUUUCACCAUGCUGGCCAGGCAGGUCUCGAACUCCUGGCCUCCCUAAGUGCUGGGAUUACAGGUGUGAGCCAUCGUGCCCCACCGUGUAUUGUUUCAGUAUUCAACACUUGACCCGAGCUGCGCUGAUCAGAUCUUCCCUCGGAAUUCUGGAACUGGGACUGAAACACAGAAAUGAUUACUACUCUGCCGUAUCUGAACUGUAUCUAACAUGAACGCAGAAAUGGUUGGCAGCCACGCCCCACAAUGUUUACAAACUGAAGAGCUGAGGAAACGAGCGUGUACUGAGAGAGAAAUGUGUAGUUGCUCGGACAGAAACAGCAGUGAGAAACGAAGUGAAGGAACUUCCUUAGUUCAGUGCAGCAGAUUCAGGCCCCGGGAAGAGUUUCCAGCCCUGGAAUUCCAUAAGACAGAAGAAACGAGGUGAAUAGUCCUGUUCUUACCGAUUAACCGCUGCUUUUACUGAUCCAUCACUGGCCACUGCAAAUGGUAAGUUCUAUUAGCAUGUCAAAUAACAUGUUCAAAAAGUAAAAAGAAAAAAGAUAACUUUUUCAAACGGUGAGUUCUAAGGGACUCUGUAAUGGCUCUGUUAUUUGGAUUUUUAUCACUAUACAGAGCUGAAAUGACACCAAAUAUCCACUUUGCCUUCAUAAAACUACUGUACUCCCCCAACUCUUUAAAAGUAGGAAUCUAUAUUCCUUGGCAACGUUGAAAAUUAAACAUCAAUCAAAGGUUCUUAGCUGUAGGUCUAGACUCUCUCCGAGCCAUAUGUGAGCAUCCCCCACAGUACCUGGUGGCAACUGGGAGAAAAAUUACAUCCAGCAAGACCAUUUCUAGGAUGUGUCAAAACACACACGUUACUUUUGCUUCUCUUCACCUUCUGAAUUCCAGUCUACCACCCAACCCAUAACUACUAUUCAAAUAUUUGAGCUUGAUCUGUCUUUUAACUGAAGAACUACUUUGUCAUAUGAAGAGUUAAAUGUCUAUUAUGUGAUUUUAUGUUUUGUUCAAAUAGUUGAUAUAAUAAAGACAUUUACAUGCAUUUUUAAAUUAUAUACCAAUUUAUUAUAAGUGAUAUAAAAUAUAGUGAAAGGAAUUUAUUUUUGAAAACGGUCAGUGAAACAUCUGAUGUACACCCAGCUGCGAAGAGUAGAUUCGAGUGCGAUGAAACUACCACGUGAAGAGCGUCGCAGCACCAGCAG
ensembl:lncRNA